GCCCGGGCCCACAGUCAAAAGUCCGAGCCCAUCCCAGGCCUGGGCUUUCGGCUCAGCAAACUCUGCGGAUCUGGUUAUGCUUCCUGUACGAGACAGAUCACGAGGCGGUUGCUGACUGACCAGUUGGGGCGAAAAUUUUUGUGGGAAGGACGCAAGAGAAAGUUGACAUUCAGGAACCUUCACCUUGCUGAGUGCAUCAUAAAUGCAGUGCCUGCUGCCAUAAAUGUGAAGACUUCAAGAUAGAAACCAUGGUCACGGAUUAACUUCGCCACGCACCUGCCUGACAUCAGUCAUCUCAAAUGGAACAUUCUGCACCACAGGAGAGAGAGAUGUGAACUGCCUUAAGUGGGCCUUGAAUGUGCUGAGCUUUUUAUUAUGUUUAUCAGACAUUUUUUUUAAGCAAAGUAUCCUGCAUUGUUCAGUAAGUAUACUUUAUUUUGAAAACCUCGUGCUGUCUAUGCAGCAUUGUUCAAAAAUUAUACUUAUUUUAAAAGCAUCAAGCACUGCUCGU